UCUUGCUAUUGCUGGUCAGUUCCCAGGUGCAAUUGCUGUUCAAAUCACGAAGGAUAAGAAAGUGUUUAAUAUCCAUUUAGAUUCCUCCAUUUGUGCAAAGCAUGGAGAAAAUGGAUCAACAAUGGCAGGAUUUGACAUUCAGACUAUUGGAAGGCAGCUUGGAUAUAUCCUCCGAAGUGAAACCAAAUUCAAGAAUUAUAAGAUAAACAAAACAUCUGCUGGGAUAGCCGUUACUAUGUUGAGCAAAAAUGUGGCUGCAGGACUGAAAAUUGAGAACCAGAUUGCUAUUGGAAAGCACUUGGCUUUGGUGGGUAAUGCUGGUGCUGUUAGAUCUGGAGGUGAUACAGCAUAUGGAGCCAACUUUGAAAUUCGCCUCAAAAGCAAGGAUUUUCCUGUAGAGCAGGAUCAAACCACAUUAGGCUUGUCUCUGAUGAAGUGGAGAGGUGAUUUGGGUGUAAUGGCCAACUUACAGUCUCAGUUUACCAUUGGUAGGAGUUCCAAAAUGGCCAUCAGUUUUGGAAUGAACAACAGGCGAAGUGGACAGAUCACCAUCAAGACCAGUAGCUCAGAACUGCAACUUGCCUUUAUCAGUAUUAUUCCAAUGGCAAUAUCCAUCUUAAAGAGUGUCUAUCCUGGUGGUGCUGUAAGAAACUCAUAAAUGCUAGAUUACUAGGGGUGUUUUUAUGGCAUCUAGCGUUUUCAGUUGGUUAAAUUUUGAAAGGCUAAACACUAUCAUCUCACUGGCCUUGAUGAUUAUAGCAACUUUGUUCAAUCUGCAAGAAAUUUAGGUUAUUUCAUAUGAGGGCAAGAGUAAGUCCAACGUCAGUGAACCGCGUAAAGAAUUAUAGACUCCUCAGUUUAUAUGUUAAACUAAUAUUUGGAAUAUGGACUUGUAUGAAAUGAAAAUUUUCUAUUUCGUUG
rnacentral:misc_RNA from 1 species